AUUGAACGCUAGCGGGAUGCUUUACACAUGCAAGUCGAACGAGUGGCGGACGGGUGAGUAACAUAUCGGAACGUGCCCAGUAGCGGGGGAUAACUAAUCGAAAGAGAGGCUAAUAACGCAUAAUAGUGGAGCGGCAGAUAUCGGAUUAGCUAGGUGGGGGGGUAAAGGCGCACCAAGGCGACGAUCCGUAGCGGGUUUGAGAGGACGACCCGCCACACUGGGACUGAGAAACGGCCCAGCCUCCGUCGGGAGGCAGCCGUGGGGGAUUUUGGACAAUGGGGGAAACCCUGAUCCAGCCAUCCCGCUUGUAUGAGAAGGCCUUCGGGUUGUAAAGUACUUUUGGCAGGGAAGCGGUAUCUGCAGAAUAAGCCCCGGCUAACUACGUGCCAGCUGCCGCGGUAAUAC
rnacentral:rRNA from 1 species